CCUGCAUUUUUAUUCAAAUAAAUAAAAAAAAAUCAAAUCAAAAUCAUGUUAGCAUAGGGCCUCCAAUCUCUAGUUCCAUCUUUCCAACAUAAGGCCGCAUUCCCUAGUUAUCCCCGUCAUAACCCAAGGACCUUUUUUCCUUUUAUCCCGGCAUAACCCGUGGACCUCCCCGGCAUAACCCGAGGACCUUUUUCUUUUCUCCCGGCAUAACCCGUGGACCUCCCCGACAUAACCCGAGGACCUUUUUCUUUUCUCCUGGCAUAACCCGUGGACCUCCUCGGCAUAACCCGAGGACCUUUUCUUUUCUCUCGGCAUAACCCGUGGACCUCCCUGGCAUAACUCAAGGACCUUUUUCCUUUAUCCCGGCAUAACUCGUGGACUUCCUCGGCAUAACCCGAUGACCUUUUUCUUUUUUCUCCCGGCAAAACCCGUGGACCUCCACGGCAUAACCCGAGGACCCCUUUCUUUUCUCCCGGCAUAACCCGUGGACCCCCCCGGCAUAACCCGAGGACCUUUUUCUUUUCUCCCGGCAUAACCCGCGGACCUCCCUGGCAUAACCCAAGGACCUUUUUCUUUUAUCCCAGCAUAACCCAUGGACCUCCCUGGCAUAACCCGUGGACCUCCCUGGCAUAAUCCAAGGACCUUUUUCUUUCAUCUCGGCAUAACCCGUGGACCUCCCCGGCAUAAUCCGAGGACCCUUUUCUUUUCC
rnacentral:lncRNA from 1 species